GUCCUGACCAAGUCUCGUGCCAGCAGUCGCGGUAAAACGAGGGGGGCAAGCGUUAGCCAUAAUUAAUAGGUCUAAAGGGUCCGCAGGCGGCUUAAUAAGUCCCUAAAAUAACAUUAGGUGAAACUACUAAGCUAGAAUAAUAAUUAAGAUAAAAGUACGUUCAGUAUAUAGAUAAAAUAAGAAAAAACCUGACAGGACUACCAUGCGAAGGCAUUAGUCUAAUAAUUAUUGACGCUCAUGGACGAAAGCUAGGAACACGAGCCGGAUUCGAUACCCGAGUAGUCCUAGCCGUAAACGAUGAAUGCUACUUUAUAAAAAAUAAGGACAGUGAAGACAUUAAGCAUUCCACCUGGAGAGUACGUUCCCAAGAAUGAAACUCAAAAC
rnacentral:rRNA from 1 species